GCCUUCCCGGUGAGUCUGCGGGCUUAAACGGACGCGGUAAAGCGUGCUAAGGUAGCUAAAUUAUGGCCUAUUAAUUGUAGGUCCUGUGAAUGGUUUGACGAGUCUUCAACUGUCUCUAGUUUUUUUGGUGAACUUGAAUUGGAUGUGCAAAUGCUUCCAUGGGUAAGAAAGACGAGAAGACCCCGUGAAGUUAGAAAUUUUGGUUGUUGGUGAGCUUUGUUGGGUGUAGGUUAGGCCACUUUAAGUGGUUUGAAAGAAAAGCGAACAGCGAUAGUUUUGGCUGGGGCAGCAAAGAAGCAAGGUUAGACUUCUUUAGUUUAAGGACAGGUGUGUGACGACCCACAAGUUUGUUGGUGUGAUUAGCAGAAGAAGUUACUCCGGGGAUAACA
rnacentral:rRNA from 1 species